rnacentral:piRNA from 1 species
UGGUUUUGUUUCCCACGUUUU